CACGUAGGGCGCAAGCGUUGUCCGGAAUUAUUGGGCGUAAAGAGCUCGUAGGCGGUCUGUUGCGUCUGCUGUGAAAACUCGGGGCUUAACCCCGAGCCUGCAGUGGAUACGGGCAGACUAGAGGUAGGUAGGGGAGAAUGGAAUUCCCGGUGUAGCGGUGAAAUGCGCAGAUAUCGGGAGGAACACCGGUGGCGAAGGCGGUUCUCUGGGCAUUACCUGACGCUAAUGAGCGAAAGUGUGGGGAGCAAACAGG
rnacentral:rRNA from 1 species